AUUAUUUUAAGAUUAUUUUUUAUUGUUGAAAAAAUUAAAAAUAAAUUGUUUUUAACAAAAAUUAAAAUUUAUAAUAUUUCAUUUUUUGGUUUUUUGUUUUAAAUUAAAAUAAUAAAUAUGGGGGAAAAAAAAAUUUUGUUAUAAAUUAUAUUAGUUUAUUUUAAUUAAAAAUAUUUUUUAUUAAAUUUGUUUUUUUUAUUUUUUUAUAAAAAAUAUUAAUUUAAUUAUUAUUAUUGAGUUUAAUUUAGUUAUUUUUAAAAAAAUUUUGUAUAAAAUAAAUUUGAUAAUAAAUGUUUUUUAAAUUCUUUGGGGGUUUAGUUUAUGAUUUUUUGUUUCUGCUCAAUGUAAAAUAAUUAAGCACUUUUAGCGUGAUUGGCCCAAAAGGUAAA
rnacentral:rRNA from 1 species